rnacentral:lncRNA from 1 species
GUAUAAUGAUAUUAACUUGCAAAAAAUGCAAGAUCUGUUUUAACGAAAUGCAUGUGUGUGGUGGUUUUAUGUUCUGCUAGGAAUCAUUUGAUUGUCAAAAUCAUAUGUUAUAGAGUUUAAUUCAAUUGUUAAAAAUCAAAUGCUAUGAUGUGGAGUUGUAAAUGUGGAAGCCAUUGGUUUGUUAAAAUGAAUAAGUAAUUCAGUUUCAUUACACCCAAUUUUUUCAAAUCUGA